rnacentral:rRNA from 1 species
UACGAAGGGGGCUAGCGUUGUUCGGAUUUACUGGGCGUAAAGCGCGUGUAGGCGGGUCGUUAAGGUGGGGGUGAAAUCCCGAGGCUCAACCUCGGAACUGCCUUCAAAACUGGCGACCUGGAGCAAAGAAGAGGCGAGUGGAAUUGCGAGUGUAGAGGUGAAAUUCGUAGAUAUUCGGAAGAACACCAGUGGCGAAGGCGGCUCACUGGUCCGGUACUGACGCUGAGGUGCGAAAGCGUGGGGAGCAAACAGG